CUUCUACAGAGGGGGGCCAGAUUACAAUGCUCCAGGCUAGAGCCAGCCCUCCAGGACAGGAGGUGCCACUGCAGGGUCAGCAUUGAACCACCAAGAAAGAUGGACAAUGAUGGACCAAUCUUGGAUGGCUGGGGAGAGACUUAGAUUGGGACUGUCAAAAACCUGCUAGGAGUGCAGUUAUUUCUGUACCAGACUCAGCGGAUCCUGUUUGUUGAAGUUAAUGGCACCGCAAAGAUCCACUGUUCUGCCAAAGAAAACCUGGAAGGAGGAAGUAGAAUGUUUUGGUAUUUGAGAAGAGAAGGUGAGAAACCCACCUACAUUAAGCGCUGUUCAGAUGAUCAAAAUGUAAGUAAAUUUGUUUGCAAACACGAGACACACAGCUCGACAUUGGAAAUCAGCAACGUCCAAAAGACUGACUGUGGCAUUUACUACUGUGCAUAUAAAUAUAGCAGCUACCUGCUUUUCGGGAAUGGAUCCACACUGCUUGUUGGAGACAGUUAUACCAACAGCAGCUGGGUGAUGCUUCUGGUCCCAUUUCCACAUGGCAGUCAAGUCACUGGGACAGCGAAUCUGGCCUGUGUGAUCCAUGGAGUGUCCAGCCCAGUCCAUGUUUCCUGGAGUGUUUCUGGGGAGCUGCAGGAACAGGGGCUGACGCGCUCAUUGAAAGCAAAGGAUGGAUCUUUAACGCUCAUAAAUCACAUCAGCGUCCCCAUGGACACCUGGACCAGUGGGAAGAAUUUCACCUGUGAAGUCAAAUUCAACUCUUCUGGCACCAGUGUGAAGAAAAGUGCCAGGUGUC